rnacentral:rRNA from 1 species
GACGAACGCUGGCGGCGUGCUUAACACAUGCAAGUCGAACGGAAAGGCCCUGCUUUUGUGGGGUGCCCGAGUGGCGAACGGGUGAGUAACACGUGAGUAACCUGCCCUUGACUUUGGGAUAACUUCAGGAAACUGGGGCUAAUACCGGAUAGGAGCUCCUGCUGCAUGGUGGGGGUUGGAAAGUUUCGGCGGUUGGGGAUGGACUCGCGGCUUAUCGGCUUGUUGGUGGGGUAGUGGCUUACCAAGGCUUUGACGGGUAGCCGGCCUGAGAGGGUGACCGGCCACAUUGGGACUGAGAUACGGCCCAGACUCCUACGGGAGGCAGCAGUGGGGAAUAUUGCACAAUGGGCGGAAGCCUGAUGCAGCAACGCCGCGUGCGGGAUGACGGCCUUCGGGUUGUAAACCGCUUUCGCCUGUGACGAAGCGUGAGUGACGGUAAUGGGUAAAGAAGCACCGGCUAACUACGUG